rnacentral:rRNA from 1 species
UACGGGGGGAGCAAGCGUUGUUCGGAUUUACUGGGCGUAAAGGGCGCGUAGGCGGCCACCGCAAGUCGACUGUGAAAUCUCCGGGCUUAACCCGGAAAGGUCAGCCGAUACUGCGGGGCUAGAGUGCAGAAGGGGCAACUGGAAUUCUCGGCGUAGCGGUGAAAUGCGUAGAUAUCGAGAGGAACACCUGCGGCGAAGGCGGGUUGCUGGGCCGACACUGACGCUGAUGCGCGAAAGCCAGGGGAGCGAACGGG